UACGUAGGGGGGCAAGCGUUGUCCGGAUUUAUUGGGCGUAAAGGGCGUGUAGGCGGUUUGCUAAUCAUGUGUGAAAACCCGCGGCUUAACUGUGGGCUUGCGGUCGAUACGGGCAUCACUGGAGUUCGGCAGGGGAGACUGGAAUUCCGGGUGUAGCGGUGGAAUGCGUAGAGAUCCGGAAGAACACCGGUGGCGAAGGCGGCCUGCUGGGCCGAUACUGACGCUGAGGAGCGAAAGCGUGGGGAGCGAACAGG
rnacentral:rRNA from 1 species